CAUCAUCUUUACCCAACUUCUCUUCACUCUUCAACUUCUAACCACAACAAUACCGCACCUUUUCUAAUGGCAACACUCUCACACCCAUUCACACACUUCUUCAUCAUUCGUAGAACCACUUCAACUCACCCCAAUUCCUUCCUCAUUCGACCCUCUCAUUCCUCCACGCACCCACAAUGCAGUUUCGAUUCCGUAUCCAUUGCCGCCACAUCUAUUAAGGAAAACCUUAGUCUCCACGCUAGCAGCAUAUCUUAA